rnacentral:rRNA from 1 species
GAUGAACGCUGGCGGCGUGCCUAAUACAUGCAAGUCGAGUGAACAGACGAGGAGCUUGCUCCUCUGACGUUAGCGGCGGACGGGUGAGUAACACGUGGAUAACCUACCUAUAAGACUGGGAUAACUUCGGGAAACCGGAGCUAAUACCGGAUAAUAUAUUGAACCGCAUGGUUCAAUAGUGAAAGACGGUUUUGCUGUCACUUAUAGAUGGAUCCGCGCCGCAUUAGCUAGUUGGUAAGGUAACGGCUUACCAAGGCAACGAUGCGUAGCCGACCUGAGAGGGUGAUCGGCCACACUGGAACUGAGACACGGUCCAGACUCCUACGGGAGGCAGCAGUAGGGAAUCUUCCGCAAUGGGCGAAAGCCUGACGGAGCAACGCCGCGUGAGUGAUGAAGGUCUUCGGAUCGUAAAACUCUGUCAUUAGGGAAGAACAAAUGUGUAAGUAACUAUGCACGUCUUGACGGUACCUAAUCAGAAAGCCACGGCUAACUACGUG